UCAUGUUGGCCCUGUACAUGGUCAUGAUUAUUUGUGCAGAUGGGAUCCUGCUGAUGCCUGCGUUGCCUAUAUGGUGUAUGGAGAUGCUGCCCUGCACUGUGCUUUGUGGUCUAUGAGAUUGUGAUUAGGAAAUGAGGCUAACUGCACAGCUGGGAAGAUGGUCCUCACAUUCCUCCUAUCCAAAUGGCCCAGAGCCAUCAGUAGUUUCUGCUGAUGAAAAGCCACAGAGCUCGGCAGUACGUUGCUGUUUUUUUAAGAACUUGUGGUCAUUAUGGAAGAUAAAUGACAGUCCUUGGAGCUCAUGGCUGAAGUACACAUUAGUCACCAGUAAAUGAUGUAUAAAAAAUAUUCAGCUUGCAAAAAGAUAAUGGUGGUUCCUAUUUGAAAAUGCAGAAAA